rnacentral:rRNA from 1 species
UACGUAGGGUGCAAGCGUUAAUCGGAAUUACUGGGCGUAAAGUGUGCGCAGGCGGCCGAGCAAGUCGAGUGUGAAAGCCCCGGGCUUAACUUGGGAAUUGCGCUCGAAACUACUUGGCUGGAGUGUGGCAGAGGAAGGUGGAAUUCCAGGUGUAGCGGUGAAAUGCGUAGAGAUCUGGAGGAACACCGAUGGCGAAGGCAGCCUUCUGGGCCAACACUGACGCUCAUGCACGAAAGCGUGGGGAGCAAACAGG